GUAGCUGUGUGGAUAUAGAGAACGGUUGCACAUUACGAAACCCAAGUGCCUGGAGAGCAGGGGGACAAAUACCUUUAACGUAGACUGUAAUAGCGCCACAUCAGGUUGCUCGCUGUGAUACAAAGUGAUUUUGGGACAACAGAUUUACAUAUUUAAUGUCGUUGGUUUUAAGGCAACUUAAUCUGGGCGCAUUUGUUGCACGUCUUCCAGUGAUCUUCGUGUAAUAACGUGAUCGCCAAUCUAUUGUGCAGUCAGAAUCAGACUGUUUGCUCCUUCUCACGCGCCUGCUUUUACCAUGGUGAUUUUGGGACAACAGAUUUACUUAUAUACUGUUGGAGGUUUUAGAACAACUUAAUCUGGAUGCCUUUGUUGCACAUCUUUUAAUGAUCUCCGCGAAAUAACGUGAUCGCAAUUCUAUUGUGCAGCCUGAGGCCACGGCCCUCAUGCCCUCCAGAUUGCUGGUAUUCACAGCUAGACUGACAAAUUAAGGACUACAAUGAAUUCCAAGGACCUCCAUAGGUAUUUUAAGUUUAAAUAAGCUAUAAUUUUAUUUAUGCUCGUUUUGUACAAUUUUAAGAGAAAUAAUUAAGAAAAAUAGCAUAAAAACAACAAUUUUAAAAAUGUA